UUAUGAGAUCCCCGCUUUCGCGAGGAUUUAGAGGAAAGUCCGAACACCAUAGUGCAACAUAGUGGCUAACGGCCACCAGUCGUGAGGCUAGGAAAAGUGCAACAGAAAGUAUGUACAGGUAAUGCUGUAGUGAAACCGGGUAAACUCUAUGUGGUGCAAUGUCAUGUAUACCAACGUUUGAGGGCUGCACGCUCGAUUGUUGGAGGGUAGGCAGCUAAAGUGUACUGGUAACAGUGCUCGCAGAUAAAUGAUAGGGUAGUGCUGACUUGUGAUGGAGAGAUCCUGAAACGAGUUCAGGACAAACAGAAUUCGGCUUAUAGAUUUACUUAAAAA
rnacentral:RNase_P_RNA from 1 species